rnacentral:pre_miRNA from 1 species
CUCCUACUCCCUCCGUUACGAAUUACUUGUCGCCGGUAUAUGGAUGUAUCUAUAUGUAUUUUAGUUCUAAAUACAUCUAUUUCUCCGACGAGUAAUUUGAAAUGGAGGGAGUACAAU